GCUGAAGUGGCAGAGUAUGGCAAUUGCAUAAAACUUAAACUUUUAUAAUCAGAGGUUCAAAUCCUCUCUUCAACA
rnacentral:tRNA from 1 species